rnacentral:misc_RNA from 1 species
GAUGAAGAACGCAGCGAAAUGCGAUAAGUAAUGUGAAUUGCAGAAUUCAGUGAAUCAUCGAAUCUUUGAACGCACAUUGCGCCCCUUGGUAUUCCGAGGGGCAUGCCUGUUCGAGCGUCAUUAUAACCCUCAAGCUCAGCUUGGUGUUGGGGCCUGCUGCACUGGCAGCCCUUAAAAUCAGUGGCGGCGCCAUCUGGCUCUAAGCGUAGUAAUUCUUCUCGCUAUGGAGUCCUGGUGGAUGCUUGCCCUCAACCCCCAAUUUUUCUCUGGUUGACAUCGGAUCAGGUAGGGAUACCCGCUGAACUUGAGCAUAUCAAUAAGCGGAGGA